AGACUACGAUGGAUAGGGGUUCUGAGAGGAAGGUCCCCCACAUUGGAACUGAGACACGGUCCAAACUCCUACGGGAGGCAGCAGUGAGGAAUACUGGUCAAUGGACGCGAGUCUGAACCAGCCAAGUAGCGUGAAGGAUGACUGCCCUAUGGGUUGUAAACUUCUUUUAUAUGGGAAUAAAGUGGUCCACGUGUGGACUUUUGUAUGUACCAUAUGAAUAAGGAUCGGCUAACUCCGUGCCAGCAGCCGCGGUAAUACGGAGGAUCCGAGCGUUAUCCGGAUUUAUUGGGUUUAAAGGGAGCGUAGGCGGAUUGUUAAGUCAGUUGUGAAAGUUUGCGGCUCAACCGUAAAAUUGCAGUUGAUACUGGCAGUCUUGAGUGCAGUAGAGGUGGGCGGAAUUCGUGGUGUAGCGGUGAAAUGCUUAGAUAUCACGAAGAACUCCGAUUGCGAAGGCAGCUCACUGGAGUGUAACUGACGCUGAUGCUCGAAAGUGUGGGUAUCAAACAGGAUUAGAUACCCUGGUAGUCCACACAGUAAACGAUGAAUACUCGCUGUUUGCGAUAUACAGUAAGCGGCCAAGCGAAAGCAUUAAGUAUUCCACCUGGGGAGUACGCCGGCAACGGUGAAACUCAAAGGAAUUGACGGGGGCCCGCACAAGCGGAGGAACAUGUGGUUUAAUUCGAUGAUACGCGAGGAACCUUACCCGGGCUUAAAUUGCAAAUGAAUUAUGGGGAAACCCAUACGCCGCAAGGCAUUUGUGAAGGUGCUGCAUGGUUGUCGUCAGCUCGUGCCGUGAGGUGUCGGCUUAAGUGCCAUAACGAGCGCAACCCUUAUCUUCAGUUACUAACAGGUCAUGCUGAGGACUCUGGAGAGACUGCCGUCGUAAGAUGUGAGGAAGGUGGGGAUGACGUCAAAUCAGCACGGCCCUUACGUCCGGGGCUACACACGUGUUACAAUGGGGGGUACAGAAGGCCGCUACCUGGUGACAGGAUGCCAAUCCCAAAAACCUCUCUCAGUUCGGAUCGAAGUCUGCAACCCGACUUCGUGAAGCUGGAUUCGCUAGUAAUCGCGCAUCAGCCAUGGCGCGGUGAAUACGUUCCCGGGCCUUGCACU
rnacentral:rRNA from 1 species